UCCAGUUCCAUGCAAGGGAUCUGCGCAUGCUGGGGAACAAGGUCGGUUUGUUCUAAAUGAUAUUUGCUAAAUGAUAUUUAUACUCCCUGGGGAGUCCACCACCUCCUGGAUUGCUGCUUUUGCCACGGACACCAGGCUUGUCCUUUCCUGCCAAACACACCACAUUAUCCUGUGUAUUCAGGAUAACUGUGCUUUUAUCCAGCCCUGUGGACCAUGCAUCCUUGAAGAAAAUGUUCAGAAACCUACCCAAAGAGGCACACAAGGUGCGCAGGAAACUCUGGGUGACCGGCCUGGCACAUGCAGGGCAGGUUCUGCAGCUGGGAAAGCACGCGGAUUUGGCAGAUACCUUGAAAGACCGAUUCUGUCCAAAAGCCCAACAAACUUUUUUAGAUUUAAGUCCUGGACUCAGUGCUGUGGUUAAUAAGUUAGGGCUGAGUUACUUUUUAGCCAAAGAAAACUUACAGCCAACGCUUUUCAUGGUAACUGCAACGCUACAGGUCAAGCAGUGCAGCGCACGCCUGCCUAAAACAGCACCCCCGGCGGCUUCUAACUGACACAGCUGGUUUCUGGGACAUGUUUUCUAUUUUGCAGCCUAAGUUUUUACAAUUUUACCUUGGAGAGGUUUCUUUUACAGGAAAUAAUAUUAGAUUUAGCAUUUUUUUAAGGAAGAAAAUAAAACCGAAUCGGAAUUGAAGCUGAUAGAAGAAGCCGUCCUAAAUCCCACAGUACUAAAAUUCCUGAGCAAGAGAUUCCUGAGGAAAGAGAUUUUACUUGUUUGGUGAAGACUGAAGCUAAUAUACAGGGUUAGAAGGGUCACGGAAGAGAAAGCCAAUGUGUAGACCACUUUUUGAAAAUGUGAUUUUGAGGCACUAUGAGGGACACGGAGAAAUCUGGAGAGGACUCAAUGUAGAGCGACGUUUCUUUGCAUUUGUGUGAGCCUCGACAGGCAGUUAUGCACCCCAGAGGAGGGUGAGCACAGCUCAGCGAGCAGAGGGGACGAACAAUGGAGCAAAUUUAUUAAGCGCUGGCUAAGAGUGUGGAGAUGCUACCUGGUGCCAGGGGAGGGCUUAGCCUGGGUAAAGAAGAACCUCAUUGGUGACUCCCAGGGACAUACUCUGUAGGACGAGGAUGAUGUCUAAAGGUCAGAUGGCAACAUACCAUGGGACACCGCUGGAUUCUCUAGGAAGCAGUAGCAAGAUAAUCCGCUGAAGCUGAACGUGAAAGAUGGAUGAUUUGAGGGGUGAAGAGAAAUCAGAUGCGCGGAAGAGGUACAAAAAGACCCAUGGAAGACUUGUCUGAUGAACUUGAAGUGCUGACCAUUCACGUUGUGAAGGAGCCAAAGGCACGAAUGUGUCACGAACCCAUCUGUGGGAUUGGGGAGGUGUCUCUAGGGGAUCUGAAAGCAGCUAUUCUUCAAUCAAAGCAGACAAUCUGCCACGCUGACCUCAGGAGGCCUGGACAUUAGCCUGCGAGUCUUCGUUCCUAGCAGGCAGACUACUCAGCCGCUCUGCAUCAGAGUCCUCAAGAUCGCACCUAAAUUUAUCUACUGUGGACAUUUAUGAGGAUUUGCAGCGGUUCAACCAAGGCUGGGGCACUGUCUGUGUCCCCUACAAAGGAAGCACCUGAUCCCCUGAAGAGGAGACGGGGAGGUGAGGAAAGGCGAGCUCCGGGUACAGUCAGUGGAGGCCACACAAACCAGCUGGAGGUGGUACAAAACAGGAAAACUGAGUCUCAGCUGGCCAUUUUUAGAUGAAGGAAAAGAGAAAACGCAAUGUUAACACCAUCAAACAUCAGCCCUGCAGCAGCGGGGAGGGAAGGAGGUCCGGCUGGACGUCCACAGAUUCAAGCUCUGCUCAGAUCUCUGUGAGCAAGCCAUGCUGUUCCCUGUCUUGCUUUUACCAUCCUUUAAAAUAAAGUGUGGGAGACAUCAGGGACCUGAUACGGGGUGGCCAGCUUCUCUGUCAUCAAGCGGCCGUCUUCCAAUCUAAUGCUACCUUAUACUGCUGGUGCUAGCACAGGGGGACCUGAAAGGAGGAGAGGGUACUUGGCACUCCCUUUCAAAGGAUUCAGUCCAGGGUCAGCAGCUCCAAGGCAGGAGCACCACGAGAGCAAUAUCGUUUGUAUUUUUGGGCUGCGUUUUGGAUAACUUAGAGAAGACAUGAAAUGCUUCAUAUUUGUUGUUCAGCUAGAGCUCGGAAUUCUACUUUAUAAUCCAAAUUGGUCAAACUAUUGAAUAGUGGCAUCCAAUAUUCACAUAACUUUUGUAAAAAUUUAAGGAUGUUUCAUUUUCAAGUCAAUAACUUUCAUUGUCUUCACAUGAGUAACUUUCACUGUUACUGUAUCCUUGUGUGUGUGCUUAUAUGUGUUCUCUUCACCCAUUUUUCCUUUAAUUCUCUAUUGUCCUUGAAACUAUCAGCCAUUUGUAGGAAAUGUUCGUAUCUGUCCUUUUCAUCAGUGUAACUUCCCGUUCCAGAAUUUCUGGUGAGAUGGGAGAAUAAUA